GAAAUACUCCCUCCGUCCCAAAAUUCUUGUCUUAGAUUUGUCUAAGUACGGAUGUAUCAAGUCACGUUUUAGUAUUAGAUACAUCCGUAUCUAGACGGAUCUAAGACAAGAAUUUUGGGACGGAGGGAGUAGCUG
rfam:Triticum aestivum genome assembly, contig: Triticum_aestivum_CS42_TGACv1_scaffold_251195_3DL